rnacentral:rRNA from 1 species
UACGUAGGGGGCGAGCGUUGUCCGGAGUUACUGGGCGUAAAGGGCACGCAGGCGGUCAUGUCAGUUUCUGGUGACAGGUCAGGGCUUAACCCUGGCAGGCCCGGAAAGACGGCAUGACUUGAGUGCUUCAGAGGGACGCGGAAUUCCAGGUGGAGCGGUGAAAUGCGUAGAGAUCUGGAAGAACACCGAAGGCGAAGGCAGCGUUCUGGGAAGUUACUGACGCUCAGGUGCGAAAGCUAGGGGAGCGAACGGG